UACGGAGGGUGCAAGCGUUGUCCGGAUUUAUUGGGCGUAAAGGGUGCGUAGGCGGCGCGGUAAGUCGGGUGUGAAAUCUCGGAGCUUAACUCCGAAACUGCAUUUGAUACUGCCGUGCUUGAGGACUGGAGAGGAGACUGGAAUUCUCGGUGUAGCGGUGAAAUGCGUAGAUAUCGAGAGGAACACCCGUGGCGAAGGCGGGUCUCUGGACAGUUCCUGACGCUGAGGCACGAAGGCCAGGGGAGCAAACGGG
rnacentral:rRNA from 1 species